GGUGGGGGUAAUUGGGCUCCACCAAGGCGACGAUGCGUAGGCCGACCUGAGGAGGGUGAUCGGCCACCACUGGGACUGAGACACAGCCCAGACUCCUACGGGAGGCAGCAGUAGGGAAUCUUCCGCAAUGGACGAAAGUCUGACGGAGCAACGCCGCGUGAGUGAUGAAGGUUUUCGGAUCGUAAAGCUCUGUUGUUAGGGAAGAACAAGUGCGAGAGUAACUGCUCGCACCUUGACGGUACCUAACCAGAAAGCCACGGCUAACUACGUGCCAGCAGCCGCGGUAAUACGUAGGUGGCAAGCGUUGUCCGGGAAUUAUUGGGCGUAAAGAGCUCGCAGGCGGUUUCUUAAGUCUGAUGUGAAAGCCCCCGGCUCAACCGGGGAGGGUCAUUGGAAACUGGGAAACUUGAGUGCAGAAGAGGAGAGUGGAAUUCCACGUGUAGCGGUGAAAUGCGUAGAGAUGUGGAGGAACACCAGUGGCGAAGGCGACUCUCUGGUCUGUAACUGACGCUGAGGAGCGAAAGCGUGGGGAGCGAACAGGAUUAGAUACCCUGGUAGUCCACGCCGUAAACGAUGAGUGCUAAGUGUUAGGGGGUUUCCGCCCCUUAGUGCUGCAGCUAACGCAUUAAGCACUCCGCCUGGGGAGUACGGUCGCAAGACUGAAACUCAAAGGAAUUGACGGGGGCCCGCACAAGCGGUGGAGCAUGUGGUUUAAUUCGAAGCAACGCGAAGAACCUUACCAGGUCUUGACAUCCUCUGACAACCCUAGAGAUAGGGCUUUCCCUUCGGGGACAGAGUGACAGGUGGUGCAUGGGUUGUCGUCAGCUCGUGUCGUGAGAUGUUGGGUUAAGUCCCGCAACGAGCGCAACCCUUGAUCUUAGUUGCCAGCAUUCAGUUGGGCACUCUAAGGUGACUGCCGGUGACAAACCGGAGGAAGGUGGGGAUGACGUCAAAUCAUCAUGCCCCUUAUGACCUGGGCUACACACGGUGCUACAAUGGAAC
rnacentral:rRNA from 1 species